rnacentral:rRNA from 1 species
CCCUUAGAUGUUCUGGGCCGCACACGCGCUACACUGAAGGAGGCAGCGUGUACUCCUGGAUCGAAAGAUUUGGGUAACCCGCGAAUCUCCUUCGUGCUAGGGAUUGAGGUUUGCAAUUAUCCUUCAUGAACGAGGAAUUCCCAGUAAGUGCAAGUCAUAAGCUUGCGCUGACUACGUCCCUGCCCUUUGUACACACCGCCCGACGCUACUACCGAUUGAAUGAUUUAGUGAGGACUUCGGACUGGGACCGAUGCGGCUUUCGGGCUGCGUCGGUAUUCUGGAAAGAUGUCCAAACUGUAUCAUUUAGAGGAAGUAAAAGUCGUANCA